AUUUUACAUUCUUCAAAACAAGGCAAGCUAACAAUAAAUAAUACUUGCAAAUAUUCAGGCCCAUCCACAUGAAUUCAAAUUUAGGUUGUAGUAUAAGUUUAACUUGAUGGUAUCAUAAUGGCCUCAGUGAAAAUGGCCUGAACACAGAGGGCCUAAAGCAGGUCAUGUAAUACCAAGCCUUCAAUGAAGUGGUGAUCUUCAGAGGCCCCUCCUCGUGCCUGUCGAAUGUAGAUGUCUACCUGGAUGGACACCCUACCAACACUGUACAGGGCAAUGGAGAGGUCAUCUCCACCCCAUGGCCAGCACACCAUAUACAGCUGCAGCAGCUGGGACUUCAUGAUCCACACCAACGUCAUCGGGGUCACAUCCAUCUGCCCCUGGCUCUCAUUCUGUCAGAUGGAGAUCCCCGCAGUGGUCUAGCUGAAGACUAUGGUGUCACACUGCACGGCUGU
rnacentral:lncRNA from 1 species